rnacentral:lncRNA from 1 species
AAAAGACUUGUAAUCAUCAUACAUAAUUGAUAUUCUCAUAAGUUUCAUGAAGAUAACUCACUAUAAAAAUGUAAACUCUUAAUUUACCGUAUAGAAAUAGGUGCUUAGACUUCAUGGGUGAAAAGGGCCCAUGGAUGAAUAUUUAACAUACCUUAAUUAAAGAAUCCUUGGAAGUUCUUUGUGGAUUUCUUGGGAAUUGAUCUUUAAGGUUGAAGGAGCUAGGGUUUUGUUCUUGAGAGAGAAUGAUUUCAAUUUGAGGGAAUUAUGAAAUAUGAGGCAA